rnacentral:rRNA from 1 species
UACAGAGGGGGCAAGCGUUGUUCGGAAUUACUGGGCGUAAAGGGCGCGUAGGCGGCCUGCUAAGUCGAACGUGAAAUCCCUGGGCUCAACCCAGGAACUGCGUCCGAUACUGGUUGGCUUGAAUCCGGGAGAGGGAUGUGGAAUUCCAGGUGUAGCGGUGAAAUGCGUAGAUAUCCGGAGGAACACCGGUGGCGAAGGCGGCUUCCUGGACCGACACUGACGCUGAGGCGCGAAAGCCAGGGGAGCAAACGGG